CAACCCUCAAGCACUGCUUGGUAUUGGGCGUCACCAUUGUGUACCCUAAAAUCAGUGGCUAUGCCCUGCAGCUUCUAGCGUAAUAAAUUUUUCGCUUUGGAGCCUGUUAGGAACACUGCCAACAACCCUCUAUUAUCUAAA
rnacentral:misc_RNA from 1 species